rnacentral:rRNA from 1 species
CCUACGGGAGGCAGCAGUGAGGAAUAUUGGUCAAUGGGCGAGAGCCUGAACCAGCCAAGUCGCGUGAAGGAUGACGGCCCUACGGGUUGUAAACUUCUUUUGUCAGGGAGCAAUUGAGUCCACGUGAGGGCUUAGCGAGAGUACCUGAAGAAAAAGCAUCGGCUAACUACGUGCCAGCAGCCGCGGUAAUACGGAGGAUGCGAGCGUUAUCCGGAUUUAUUGGGUUGAAAGGGAGCGUAGACGGCGGUGCAGGCCAGAUGUGAAAGCCUGGGGCUCAACCCCGGGACUGCAUUUGGAACUGUGCUGCUAGAGUGUCGGAGAGGCAGGCGGAAGUCCUAGUGUAGCGGUGAAAUGCGUAGAUAUUAGGAGGAACACCAGUGGCGAAGGCGGCCUGCUGGACGAUGACUGACGUUGAGGCUCGAAAGCGUGGGGAGCAAACAGGAUUAGAUACCCUAGUAGUC